CAUUGUUCACUAACCCAGUGCCUAGCAUGGUGCCAGGCACAUAGUUACUCUAAGAAAGCACAGUGAUUGCUGGAUUCUUUCUCUCCUUGUACAGCUCUUCAUGUGGAUGUCUGAGCUCCUAUCAGGUGUCUGAAAGAGGCAGAUUCUGAGGAUUUGGGUCAUGAUGGCUGCCAAAGCUUCUACGCCUGACUUAAAGGGCAACAAUCCUAGGAGACCACCAGCACUUACAUCCCUGGUGGGACAUGACACCUGCUUAUGGCCCAGAAGUGACAAAAGAGAAUUAUCAGGAUGGCAGUCCUUAUAACCAGAUGCUUAUAAACAUUCUUCACUACAUUCUGAAGAUGAAUUUCUACAAGGGAAAUUGUUUAUGGAGGCAGCAGAUGGCUGAAAUUCUGAUGCAAUGUGGCUGGUUAAUGCACGAUCUGAAAACUCCUGCACUGGUGAUUUUGGGACAGAUCUAGAAUAUACCAAUAAAUAUAUUAACAUACCAAGUAGUCCAGGAGCAGCCACUGGGCAAACACCAAACCUUGCAUCCCCGGUGCUGUCUCUGAGCUCAACAGACAUGUCUUUGCAGAAGAGUUCUAUAAUGGUGGUACAAUGGCGCCCCCCUCAUGACAGAAGCUUGAACUACAGCUUGAACAUCGUGUGA
rnacentral:lncRNA from 1 species